rnacentral:rRNA from 1 species
ACGGCGAGUGAAGCGGCAAGAGCUCAAAUUUGAAAUCUGGCGCCCUCGGUGCUCGAGUUGUAAUUUGGAGAGGCACUUUGGGGUGAGGCGCUGGUCCAAGUUCCCUGGAACGGGACGCCGCAGAGGGUGAGAGCCCCGUACCCGGCCAGCGGUCCGAGCCCGUGUCAUGUGUCUUCGACGAGUCGAGUUGUUUGGGAAUGCAGCUCAAAAUGGGUGGUAAAUUUCAUCUAAAGCUAAAUACAGGCGGGAGACCGAUAGCGCACAAGUAGAGUGAUCGAAAGAUGAAAAGCACUUUGAAAAGAGAGUUAAAAAGUACGUGAAAUUGUUGAAAGGGAAGCGCUUGAGAUCAGAACUGGGCGGCGGGUGAUCAGCGGUGCUUUUGCGCCGUGCACUCGCCCGUCGCCUGGCCAGCACCGGUUGGUGCGGCAGGAGAAAGGCCUGCGGGAAUGUGCCUCCCCCUCGGGGGAGUGUUAUAGCCCCGGGCGCAAUGCUGCCCGCGCCGACCGAGGGAUGCGCUACGGCUAGGAUGCUGGCGUAAUGGUCUUCAGCGACCCGUCUUGAAACACGGACCAAGGAGUCUAACAUCUAUGCGAGUGUUUGGGUCCGAAAACCCUUGCGCGUAAUGAAAGUGAAUGGAGGUGGGAACCCAUCUAGGGUGCACCAUCGACCGAUCCUGAUGUCCUCGGAUGGAUUUGAGUAGGAGCAUAGCUGUUGGGACCCGAAAGAUGGUGAACUAUGCCUGAAUAGGGUGAAGCCAGAGGAAACUCUGGUGGAGGCUCGCAGCGGUUCUGACGUGCAAAUCGAUCGUCAAAUUUGGGUAUAGGGGCGAAAGACUAAUCGAACCAUCUAGUAGCUGGUUCCUGCCGAAGUUUC